rnacentral:rRNA from 1 species
UAGGGAAUCUUCCACAAUGGACGCAAGUCUGAUGGAGCAACGCCGCGUGAGUGAAGAAGGGUUUCGGCUCGUAAAGCUCUGUUGGUAGUGAAGAAAGAUAGAGGUAGUAACUGGCCUUUAUUUGACGGUAAUUACUUAGAAAGUCACGGCUAACUACGUGCCAGCAGCCGCGGUAAUACGUAGGUGGCAAGCGUUGUCCGGAUUUAUUGGGCGUAAAGCGAGUGCAGGCGGUUCAAUAAGUCUGAUGUGAAAGCCUUCGGCUCAACCGGAGAAUUGCAUCAGAAACUGUUGAACUUGAGUGCAGAAGAGGAGAGUGGAACUCCACGUGUAGCGGUGGAAUGCGUAGAUAUAUGGAAGAACACCAGUGGCGAAGGCGGCUCUCUGGUCUGCAACUGACGCUGAGGCUCGAAAGCAUGGGUAGCGAACAGGAUUAGAUACCCUGGUAGUCCAUGCCGUAAACGAUGAGUGCUAAGUGUUGGGAGGUUUCCGCCUCUCAGUGCUGCAGCUAACGCAUUAAGCACUCCGCCUGGGGAGUACGACCGCAAGGUUG